rnacentral:rRNA from 1 species
GGUUAAGCGACUAAGCGUACACGGUGGAUGCCCUGGCAGUCAGAGGCGAUGAAGGACGUGCUAAUCUGCGAUAAGCGUCGGUGAGGUGAUAUGAACCGUUAUAACCGGCGAUUUCCGAAUGGGGAAACCCAGUGUGUUUCGACACACUAUCAUUAACUGAAUCCAUAGGUUAAUGAGGCGAACCGGGGGAACUGAAACAUCUAAGUACCCCGAGGAAAAGAAAUCAACCGAGAUUCCCCCAGUAGCGGCGAGCGAACGGGGAGGAGCCCAGAGCCUGAAUCAGUGUGUGUGUUAGUGGAAGCGUCUGGAAAGGCGUGCGAUACAGGGUGACAGCCCCGUACACAAAAAUGCACAUAUUGUGAGCUCGAUGAGUAGGGCGGGACACGUGGUAUCCUGUCUGAAUAUGGGGGGACCAUCCUCCAAGGCUAAAUACUCCUGACUGACCGAUAGUGAACCAGUACCGUGAGGGAAAGGCGAAAAGAACCCCGGCGAGGGGAGUGAAAAAGAACCUGAAACCGUGUACGUACAAGCAGUGGGAGCCUCUUAAUGGGGUGACUGCGUACCUUUUGUAUAAUGGGUCAGCGACUUAUAUUCUGUAGCAAGGUUAACCGAAUAGGGGAGCCGAAGGGAAACCGAGUCUUAACUGGGCGUUAAGUUGCAGGGUAUAGACCCGAAACCCGGUGAUCUAGCCAUGGGCAGGUUGAAGGUUGGGUAACACUAACUGGAGGACCGAACCGACUAAUGUUGAAAAAUUAGCGGAUGACUUGUGGCUGGGGGUGAAAGGCCAAUCAAACCGGGAGAUAGCUGGUUCUCCCCGAAAGCUAUUUAGGUAGCGCCUCGUGAAUUCAUCUCCGGGGGUAGAGCACUGUUUCGGCAAGGGGGUCAUCCCGACUUACCAACCCGAUGCAAACUGCGAAUACCGGAGAAUGUUAUCACGGGAGACACACGGCGGGUGCUAACGUCCGUCGUGAAGAGGGAAACAACCCAGACCGCCAGCUAAGGUCCCAAAGUCAUGGUUAAGUGGGAAACGAUGUGGGAAGGCCCAGACAGCCAGGAUGUUGGCUUAGAAGCAGCCAUCAUUUAAAGAAAGCGUAAUAGCUCACUGGUCGAGUCGGCCUGCGCGGAAGAUGUAACGGGGCUAAACCAUGCACCGAAGCUGCGGCAGCGACACUAUGUGUUGUUGGGUAGGGGAGCGUUCUGUAAGCCUGUGAAGGUGGCCUGUGAGGGUUGCUGGAGGUAUCAGAAGUGCGAAUGCUGACAUAAGUAACGAUAAAGCGGGUGAAAAGCCCGCUCGCCGGAAGACCAAGGGUUCCUGUCCAACGUUAAUCGGGGCAGGGUGAGUCGACCCCUAAGGCGAGGCCGAAAGGCGUAGUCGAUGGGAAACAGGUUAAUAUUCCUGUACUUGGUGUUACUGCGAAGGGGGGACGGAGAAGGCUAUGUUGGCCGGGCGACGGUUGUCCCGGUU